rnacentral:lncRNA from 1 species
CUUAACUUCUUCUCUUAAAAAUAAAAGGGGGAAGUUUCUUUAGAAAGUGCGCAGAGCCACAUGCCCCGAAGGGCUUGGUCAGACUCCACAGUGCACAGCAGACGGCUCCGCAGGGACGCAGAAGGCGUUCGUAGCUCCUUUGGGGGCUGAGCAGAGAGCAGCCAUAGAACAGGCUUCCUUUUUCCUCUCCGUUCUCCCACCCGACUCCUAUAUCUGUUUUUCUUCUGUUUCUAGUCAGAUACGUGCCCCACCUUCUCUCGUUUCUAUGCUCUUCUCUCCCACCACACACUAUUUAGGUCAGCUCUUCCGAGCACAGGGUGAAGCAGGUUUAGGUUCCAGCACUGUCAUAAAAUGACCACUGAUUCCUAGGAAUUAAAAGGAAAACUAAUACGUGAUUUAAAAAAUAAGGUUUUCCAGUGCUAUUUUCUAACAGUGAAGUAUUUUUUUCUUAGAUGUCUAGAUGCCUUUAAUUUCUGUUUUUCUCACUCCUUUCUGGUUUUUUUUUGAAGAAGAAGAAGAUCAGCCCUGAGCUAACAUCUGCCUCCAAUCCUCUCCUCUUUUUGCUGAGGAAGACUGGCCCUGAGCUAACAUCCGUGCCCGUCUUCCUCUACUUUAUACGUGGGACGCCAAACACAGCAUGGCUUUUGCCAAGUGGUGCCAUGUCCGCACCCAGGAUCCCAACUGGCUAACCCCAGCUGGAGAAGCAGAACGUGCGAACUUAACCACUGCGCCACCACGCCGGCCCCUCUCACUCCUUUCUUACCACCUGUUCAUCUGAUUGUUUUUCUUUGUUUGUACAUUAACAUUAAGUAUAUAUUUUGCAUGUAUGAUGAUUUUCAUAAUUUAAAAAAUUAAAUGGCUUAUCCUUUUUUGUUCUUUUCUCUCUCGGCUCUAGGAACCAGGCUGCGAGUCUUCAGCGGCAAGGGGUCUUCCCCCUAACUCCCUCGGGGGCCCGCGGUGCCAGUCUUUAAGGACCUUUGCAGCUCGGAGUCAGACAGACGGCCCACAAGAGGGCGAUCUAGAACCAGUCAGCAACCAGAUGUAUAAACGUAGAAAUGGCUGUAAAGACGAACAGCAUCCUGGGAAGCUUGGCCGGAUUGAAGGAGGACCAGGGAUGGUCGGAGGCUCCCGUCCACCCUCGGGCGAAGGCGGGGUGCUUUCCACACGCUCAGAAAUCUCCCAAGACACAUCACAGGACGCAGUGAUAAACUGAACGGUGUUUAAAAAAUGCAAUUGGAUGAGGUGUUUGCAGAGUAAAGAGCACACGGCAGGCAGAGAAAAAGAGACAACAGAGGGCAGGCAGACAUGGGGGGACGGAGGGUACCCUCGGGAACCUUGGCCAGGGGCUCGGGUCUGCUCCCUGGAACAGCACGGAAAACCAGGACUCUCGCCGCUUAUCGGUGGAACACAGAGAAAUCCUCAAUAGCUAUUCCUAUCACCGCAGUUGGAAACGAUACAACAGAAUGGCUGGCUGUCUUACGGCUGUUCUUUAAAUUUGCCAUUAGGAGCACCCUCUCAAAGAUUUAAACUGUGAAUGGUCAACUCAACAACAAAAAAUCAAACAACCCCAUCAAACAAUGGGCUGGAGACAUGAACAGACAUUUCUCCAAAGAAGAUAUACGGAUGGCCAAUAGGCACAUGAAAAGAUGCUCAUCAUCGCUGAUCAUCAGGGAAAUGCAAAUCAAAACUACGCUAAGAUAUCACCUUACACCCAUUAGAAUGACAAAAAUAUCUAAAACUAAUAGUAGCAAAUGUUGGAGAGGUUGUGGAGAAAAAGGAACCCUCAUACACUGCUGGUAGGAAUGCAUACUGGUGCAGCCACUAUGGAAAACAGUAUGGAGAUUCCUCAAAAAAUUAAAAAUAGAAAUACCAUAUGACCCAGCUAUUCCACUACUGGGUAUCUAUCCACAGAGCUUGAAGUCAGCAAUUCCAAAAGUCCCAUGCACCCCUAUUCAUUGCAGCAUUAUUUACAACAGCCAAGACAUGGAAGCAACCUAAGUGCCCAUCAACAGAUGAUUGGAUAAAGAAGAUGUGGUAUAUAUACACAAUGGAAUACUACUCAGCCGUAAAACAGAACAAAAUCAUUCCAUUUGCAACAACGUGGAUGGACCUUGAGGGAAUUAUGUUAAGUGAAAUAAGCCAGAGAGAGAAGGACAAUCUCUGUAUGACUCCACUCAUAUGAGGAAUUUAAAAAUGUAGACAAAGAGAACAGAUUAGUGACUACCAGGGGAAAGAUGGGGUGGGGGGUGGGCACAAAGUGUGAAGGGGUGCACCUACAACAUGACUGACAAACAGUAACAUACAACCGAAAUUUCACAAGGUUGUAACCUAUCAUUAACUCAAU